rnacentral:rRNA from 1 species
AGUGAACGCCGGCGGUAGGCCUAACACAUGCAAGUCGAACGGCAGCACAGAGGAGCUUGCUCCUUGGGUGGCGAGUGGCGGACGGGUGAGGAAUACAUCGGAAUCUACUCUGUCGUGGGGGAUAACGUAGGGAAACUUACGCUAAUACCGCAUACGACCUACGGGUGAAAGCAGGGGAUCUUCGGACCUUGCGCGAUUGAAUGAGCCGAUGUCGGAUUAGCUAGUUGGCGGGGUAAAGGCCCACCAAGGCGACGAUCCGUAGCUGGUCUGAGAGGAUGAUCAGCCACACUGGAACUGAGACACGGUCCAGACUCCUACGGGAGGCAGCAGUGGGGAAUAUUGGACAAUGGGCGCAAGCCUGGUCCAGCCAUACCGCGUGGGUGAAGAAGGCCUUCGGGUUGUAAAGCCCUUUUGUUGGGAAAGAAAUCCAUCUGGUUAAUACCCGGGUGGGAUGACGGUACCCAAAGAAUAAGCACCGGCUAACUUCGUGCCAGCAGCCGCAGUAA